ACUUAAAGAGGACGGCAGAUCAAGAGCAUCUCAUCCUCCGGCUGCUGAGUCAUCCUGCUCUGGCAGUUAUUUAAACAGAAGGCUCCAGGAGACAUACAAUCAACACUCCACUCAGACAAUGCCCAGACCUCCAGAAACCAUGUGUCAAGCUCGGAUUGCCUUAGACAGGUGCAAUUUAAGAACAGCUUUCAUCCUCUUUUCUCUCAUAUUGUCACACUAUGUGUUCUGACUUCUGGCUCCUUUCCUCACAAGAAGCUCACCCAGCUGGAACUCUUAUGGGACCUUGGCACCAGAGACCACAAAUUCCUCUUUGAAGUUUUCUAACAGCAACAAUGGUAUUUCUGACUUGGCUUUCUUGUAUUUCUCUCACGUUAACAAAAUUGGUUCAGCAUCUACCAUGGGCUACAUGCUGAGCUACAGAGUUUCGCUCUGUCGCCCAGGCUGGAGUGCAGUGGCGCGCGAUCUCGGUUCACUGCAAGCUCCACCUCCCGGGUUCACGCCAUUCUCCUGCCUCAGCCUCCUGAGUAGCUGGGACUACAGGCGCCCGCCACCACACCCAGGUAAUUUUUUGCAUUUUUAGUAGAGACGGGGUUUCACCGUGUUAGCCAGGAUGGUCUCGUUCUCCUGACCUCAUGAUUCACCCGCCUUGGCCUUCCAAAAUGCUGGGAUUACAGGCGUGAGCCACUGUGCCCUGCCAAAGGCCUUUUCAAAUCUAACGAUGUACUCACAUUUCCACCUGUCUGCCAGCCCUUGUCCAGUUUGACCUGGGCACUCACUGCUGCUCUGGUGGUGAGUACUGCUGAUGGUUCUUUUCCCUGCCCAUCCUUGAGGUGCUCGCUUCAAUAUGUCAAAUGAGGACUCUCAUUACAUUUGGCUGUCAUACAUCAGCCACAACUGUCCUGCCCAGAAGAGCUGGCCUUGGCUUUAAAGCCUACAUCCUGGCUGACCUUCUUUACUGCUUUAUUAAGGAAUCCAACUUGCUGUUUGCUAUCACAUGUGCUAUACAUGCUGUUGAUGAAACUGCUAAAGGGGCUGAAUGUGACUGACGUCUUUGGAAGGAUGAGACUUAGCGUGCCUGUACAGUUGUGUCCAAAUGCUGUCCUCAUCUCCCAAUGAAAAGGUAUUGUAAAUAAAGAGAAAGAUCAGAGGCUUAUUUUAAACACUAAAUAUGAGCUAGGAGCUGUCCUAGACACUAUGUAAAAGUUUUAUUUAGUUCUCACUGUAAUGUUGGCCUUAUGUUAGCAUCCCAUUUUUCAGACUGAGGAAAUUAUGGCUCAGAGAGGUUAAGAGACUUAUUGAAGGUCACACAGCUCCACAAACUUUGGUGUAGAUUGAACGUGUACAUGGGUCUAUGUGACUUUGAAUCUUGCAUUCUUUACAUUAUUGGAAUAUUUCACAGAAGGAAAAUGACAUAUUAACAUGGCAAUAAGAUUUCUGGUUCCAGUCUGGUUACUGGUCUUCCAAGAGUGUUAUAGGAUGUAUAGCCUGAGCUCUGAAGCUUUGUUCUGAAGCAUGCUAUCAAUAUGAACAAAUUGGUAUGGAAGGAAGCCACAAAUUAUAUACUAAAAUCUAGUUCAUCAGAGGAAAAUAUAGUUAAAUACAUUUACAUUCCCAGAACUGUUAAUAUUGAAGAAUAAAACACACAGUGGGAAAGAGACGAAGAGAAAAUACGCCUGUUUUUAUGACUUGUUGAUAUCUACAGGGUUUUUCCUUAAGCCUCACAACAAUUUACAGCAUUGCCAGCAGCAUUCAGUACAUUCAGAACAGGAUAAUUUCACCCGCAGCUGAACUAGGGCCAUGCCUGGGACAGACAGAGAAUGGCCUUCCAGCAGACAUGCCAAGAAGCAAGCCAGGGUCAGUGAGUGAAGAGGAGGGCAGGCCCAUUUGAAGCAACACAGUUUAUGUAAGUGUGAUCUAACUGCUUUCACUGGAAAUGGGUCAGACUCCAGUUGAGAGAACCAGGGGCCUGAAUGACCCCAGCAAAAUCACUGUGGCAAUUCUUUCAAUCACCUCUGAGAAUAUGGCCCUGUGACGACAUAAUGACGUUUGGAUUAAUUCCAGUCGGCUGUGUUUUCCCCUCCUUUCUUGCCUCCCCGUAGUUGAUUUGCCAAAUUUUUUUUGUUUGCUUAAAUACGCGGAACUAAACAGGAUACAUUAUAUGACAGUCUGUGAUAAAUUUACCACUGGGAAUAGGGAAAAAGUAUGGGAUAAAGAAAUAGGUAUUUUUCGCCUCUCACAGCUGUGAUUCAGUUCUGACUCAAAAGGAAGUGUGCCACCUACUGAAUCACAGAAACCACUUCCUGUGGCUGUUUGGUUUAUUCUGGAGGAGCAUCAGGCCAAGUGCUGCCCUGCCCUGACCCUGACUGGCUCUUCAGAGCCAAGGCAUUCACAGCUUGAGGUGGUUUGGCCUCAGACUCUUGAGAACAUUGCAUAUUAAAUUACAAGUGUUUCGUUUCCUAGCAAGGAGUCUUUAGCAACAUGAAAACGAACGUGUGUUAUUUGCAAACCAAGUAUAUCAUUACUGAACCUGAAUAUCCUUACUUUUUCAUAAGGUACGUAUUCCGGAUGACCACUCUUAAGAUCUGAAUGUACACUGGUUCUGUUUUUCCUGAGGGGAACUUGGGCAGUCUGCAGGGUGGCAUUUACCAGCUGAGGGACUUCAAGAGCACCCUUUAAUCAGUGUGGCAGCACUCAACUUGUAUUCACUCACUCAGAGUAUUUUUGAGCAUGUACUUAUUGCCAUGUGCUGUGCUAGGUAGGGGUAGAGGGUACAGUGGUGAACAAGACCCCACAGCUCCUGACCUCAUGGCUCAUGUGUUCUACACCAUAAGGGAAUCAAGCUGUGUCUCCCGGGGCAGGGGCCUUCCUCUGUUCACCAUGCAGCCCCAGCAUCUAGCACCUGGCGUUGCAUAAAGGAGGCUCUAAAUCAAGCUUGUCCAACCCAAGGCCCACGGGCCACAUGUGGCCCAGGAUGGCUUUGAAUGCAGCCAAACACAAAUUUGUAAACUUUCUUAAAACAUUAUAAGAUUUGUGUGUAUGUGUUUUAGUCCAUCAGCUAUUGUUAGUGUUCAUGUAUUUUAUGUGUGGCCCAAGACAAUUCUUCUAUGUGGCCCAAGGAAACCAAAGAUUGAACACUCCUGCUCUAAAUACUUGUUUGUUGAAUAGAUACAUGAAAAGAAAGAAGGAGAGAAGGAAGAAAGGAGGGCGGAAGGAAAGGAAGAAGGGAGAGAAGAAGAGAAGAAAGAAGCAGAGAAAGGAAGAGAAAAGAAAUUACGGCCAGUGCGGUGGCUCACGCCUGUAAUCCUAGCACUUUGGGAGGCCUAAGCGGGCUGAUCACCUGAGGUCAGGAGUUCGUAAGCCAGCCUGGCCAACAUGGUGAAACCCUAUCUCUACUAAAAAUACAAAAAUCAGCAGGGCAUGGUGGUGCGUGCCUGUAAUCCCAGCUACCUGGGAGGCUGAGGUAGGAGAAUCGCUGGAACCCGAGAGGCGGAGGCUGCAGUGAGUUGAGAUCAUGUCACUGCACUCCAGGCUGGGCAACAGAGUGAGACUCUGUCUCAGAAAAAAAAAAAAAGAAAGAAAGAAAGAAAGAAAGUUACCAUUAGUUUUUUGUUGUAUUUGCAAGCAAAGACAAAAGCACCAAGGUACUUGUUUCCUUCUGUAAUUAGAGUUUCAAAUAGACUAAAAGUUUCUGCUCUUAGGUGGGUCUAGAGACUCUCCAGUACCUCAGGACCUCAGGACACAUGGGGUCUCUUGGUUGUUUUCUUUUCAUUGUUGUUGUUUAUUUUAUUUUUGUUUUUAUUUUUUAACUUUAAAACAAUUUUUUGUAGAUGAAUAUGCUUACAUAUGUUUGGGGGUUUUUUUGAGACAGGGUCUUGCUCUGUUGCCCAGGCUGGAGAGCGGUGGUUUAACCACAGCUCACUGCAGCCUCGACCUCCCAAGGUAGGGACUGCAGGUGUGUACACUGGGGUGCACCACCACACCCAGCUAAUUUUUAAAUUUUUUUUUGUAGAUAUUGUCUCACUCUGUUGGCCAGACUGGUCUUGAAAUCCUGGGCUCGAGCAAUUCUCCUGCCUCGGCCUCGUAACGCGUUAGGAUUACAAGCGUGAACACCGCACCUGGCCAGCAUGUGGUCUCUUAACCAGAGGAGGCCUCUUCUGAACUAGGUAGAGGUCCUGAGAAUUGAUUCUGAGAGUAAAAGGCUCUUUGUUCUCCUCAGAGUAGAUUAGAAUCCCUAAUGAUAGAGCAUCUAUUAUUCCUCUAGUGGUCCAUGCCCAACAGAUUCAUCCAAGAAUAGAUGAAGAUCUUUGUAAUGUUGUGCAAGUAAUCUAAUCACCCCACAGAAGAGCUGUGACUUAAAUUAUCCCAGAGUCGGCCCACCUGUUUUCAUAAAGAUCAAUGUAACUUGUAAAUUUCUUCAGUUCUCCUCACCUAUCAUCAUUUGACUAACAAAACCCAGAAAACUAGGCUAGUUAUGGUGGCCUAUGCAUAUAAUCCCAACUCUUUGAGAGGCCAGGGUGGGUGGAUUGCUUGAGUCCAGGAAUUCGAGACCAGCCUGGGCAACAAAGGGAGACCCUGCCUAUAUCCCAGCUAUGCAGGAGGCGAGGCCAGAGGAUUGCCUGAGCCUCAGAGGUUGAGGCUGUAGUGAGCCAUGAUUGCCCCACUACACUCCAGCCUGGAUGACAGAGUGAGACCCUGCCUUAAAAAUAAUAAUAAUAGUAAUAAUAUUUCAUAAAGAUACAGGAAACUAGAUUAUAAUUGACAUUUUCAAAGUGAAAUACUGUCUAGAAUGGUGCUUGGCCAACAGUAAGCUUUUUGUAAGUGGAAGUCAUUACUACUACUAUUUCUUUCAUUAUUAUUACCAUUACUACUUUUUUUUACAAAAAAAAAACCCUGGACAACACACUGAAACCAUUACUACUUCUACUACUAUAACUUAGGUUGCACCUGAUAGAGCCAGCAAUUUUUCCAAGGUAUGACAAUGGCCAUAUGUUUAAUGAUAUAAUUCUAUGGCUCAGUGUAUCUCAGCCUUUUUAAACCCUGCUCUUCUUUUGACAAUUGUAAAAAUCUUAAACUGACCUCCAGUUGAAAUCCUCUGUCAAGAAGAUAUUGUCGGCCAGGGGCGGUGGCUCACACCUGUAAUCCCAGCACUUUUGGAGGCCGAGGUGGGAGGAUCACUUGAGGUUAGGAGUUCAAGACCAGCCUGGCCAACAUAGUGAAACCCCAUCUCUACUAAAAAUACAAAAAUUAGGCAGGCAUGGUGGUGUGUGCCUGUAAUCCCAGCUACUCAGGAGGCUGAGGUAGGAGAAUUGCUUGAACCUGGCAGGGCAGAGGUUGCAGCAAGCCGAGAUCACGCCACUGCUCUCCAGCCUGGGUGAGACUGUCUCAAAAAAAAAAAAAAAAAAGAAAGAAAGUAAGAAAAAGAAGAAAUCCCAAUCUCUUCUUUUAUGUGGAUUCUUCCUCACUUGAAUAAUACUUUUCUUCCCCAGUAUUCUCCAUAUUAUCCCAGAGUCAGCCCCUCUGUUUUUGUAAAGAUCUACGUAACCUCCUCUAAGUUUCCCAGUUCUCCUCACCUAUCAUAUCAUUUGGCUCAACAAAGGGCAGGAAGCUAGAUUCUAAUUGAUAUUUUGAGGCCGGGAGCAGUGGCUCAUGCCUGUAAUCACAGCACUUUGGGAGGCUGAGGCGGGCAGAUCACUGGAGGUCAGGAGUUCGAGACCAGCCUGGCCAAUAUGGUGAAACCUCGUCUCUACUAAAAAUACAAAAAAUUAGCCAGGCUUGGUGGCUUGUACCUGUAAUCCCAGCUACUCAGGAGGCUGAGGCAGGAGAAUAGCUUAAACCUGGGAGGAAGAGGUUGCAGUGAGCCGAGAUUGCUCAAUUGCACCCCAGCCUGGGUGACAGAGCAAAACUCCAUCUCAAAAACAAACAAACGAACAAACCUGAUAUUUUCAAAAUUGAGGCAAUUAUAACAGCUAUUUAGCCAAGCAUUAUGAUAGCAAUAAUAGCAAGAAAAUAAAUUAGUUAACAAAUGAGUCUCAGAAGCCCAAUGAUUUUUAUUUUAUUUUUAUUUUUUGAACUUUUAUUUUAGAAUCAGGGGAUACAUGUGCAGGUUUGUUACCCGGGUAUAUUGCAUGAUGCUGAGUUUUGGAGUAUGCAUGAAUCCAACCUGUCAUCCAGGUAGUGAGUAUAGUACCCAACAGAUAGUUUUUUUAACAUUUACUUCACUCCCUUCCCCAAUCUUGUAUUCCCCUGUGUCUACUGUUCCCAUUUUUAUGACUGUGCCAACAAUAAUUUUUUUUCUUUUUUCUUUAAAUAGAGAUGGGGGUCUCUAUUUAAAGAGCCUCCCAAAGUGCUAGGAUUACAGGUGUGAUCCAUUGCACCUGGCCCAUGCCAACAAUAUUUGAAACCCUUAUCUGCGUGUACAAGUUUGCUACUGGUUUUGUUUUGCUCAUUAAUACAUCCCAAGCAUCUAUACCUGGCUUGUAGUACCAGCAUGUAGUAGGUGCUUAAUAAAUAUUUAUUGAAUAAAUAAAUUAGUUUGACAUUAGUUUAACAUCUCAAGUAAAACAAAAUACCAUUCAAUUAAUUCUCUUCUUCUACUUUUUUCUUUUAAGAGAGACAAAUAGUCACACAUACAUCAGCAGGAGAGGAUACAAUUUCCUGUGUUUAAGUUUUUAUGAGUUACUUUAGUUCAAAUGUCACAGAAAAUUAUAUUGAACUCUUGACCAAUCUAUCUAUUUUUUCCAUUGGAGUAUUGACCCAAAUAAGAAAUAGCAUAAAGGAAAAAUUAUUUUUUGGCAGAAAAAUAUUCUCUCUAAAUUCUUGUGUGUUUUGUUUUGAUUUUUUCCUUAGUGACUGGAGGCCAGUUUCAAUCCACUGAAGCACAGAUUCCAAAUUUUCAAUCUGGUUUUCUUGAGUAGUGACUGAGUGCCAAAAAUGAAGCAAUGACACAACAUCACCAUCAAGACACUCCCCAGCACGCACACACAUGCCAGAGUCCAACACCAAGAUACUCCCCAGCACGCACACACACGCCAGAGUCCAGGCCAUAUUCGGGUGGCUUGCAAGCUUCUUCCCCCCAAGUAUUUACUCUCAAAAUAAUGGUUUUUGUUUUGUUUUGGUUUGGUUUGGUUUGUUUUUUUCCAAAUACAUUUCUUCCCUAUAUCUUUAACCAAUUCUCAUAAAAUUUUGUCUAAUACACUGGUCAGUGUAUUCCAGACCCUAAAAGAUAACAUAAUGAAACUAUCUAUGACUAAAAGGUAAUCAGGAUCUUCUACUUAUCCUUUUUUCCUCCCUCUUAAACUUUAAUUUUGAUACAUUUGGGAGUGAAAUGAUGACAAUAAAUGCAAAGUAAUUAUUGAAGAAACAGUAAUUUUGUAUUAGCUUACUGAAAAAAAAAAAAAAGAUAACCAAAUAUAUUUUGGCAGCCCCAAACGAGUCACAUGUGAAAUGCAGUGGGAGAGCAGUGUCCUGAAGGAAAAGGUGGCCUGCUGGACAGCCAAGAGAACAAACAUCCACUGCAAGUAAUAUGAGCUCUAAGUUUGGACUAGGCCUAUGUCUGCUCUGAGACUUGGGGCAAUUCACUUAAUCAGAGCCUUAAUCAGCUACGGACUAGCAAUAUCCAUACCCGCUACUUAUUUUGUAAAUCUCCUUUCUAAAGUUAACUCUAUUUAUUGUUCCAUAAUCCCAUAAAUUCUAGAAUCUUUUCCUGUUAUAGCCAAGUUGUCUAUCAUUGACAGAGAUAUUCACCUGGUUGUUUUGGCUUCUCUAAUCCUCCUGGUGAGAACACCUCCAAGGGAGCUUUCAGUGGCAUUUAAGGUCACUUGUGCUCUUGGUCCUAGAAACUGCCUUGAUAGUGGUUUUAGCUCACAUGAGGUAAGUCUUUAUUAUAUGCCCAACCUCUUUAUGCAUUACUUCAUUUAAUUGUAUACUAAUCCUUUGUCAUAGGUUAUCAGAGUGUUUGAUUAUAAGUUACAGGAAGAAAAAAAAAAACAAACUCCAAUUGACUAAAACAAUGGGGCAUUUUUUGACUCACAUAACAGAGAGUCUAGAGAGAAGGCACCUUCAGGUUUGGCUGAUGAAUCCUGUAUCUCUGCCUUGUCUCCAGGCCCCCAGGUUCUGCCUCUGUCCUGACAUCCAGUGUUGGAUUCCUCUUCACAUCAACUCCUCUCUGUAGGUUGGGCCAUCAGACCCUACCUCCUUAUUUAUGUUGAGCAAAGGAGAGAGAAUGCCUCUACAAACAAUGAAAAAAGUGAAAAAAAAAAUCUUUCUCCUCCUUAUAACUUUAGUUAGCUUAACUUUAGUCAGUUGCUUAGCUACUAAACAGUAGCUAUUGGGAGGUGGGAAGGAAUACUAUUGUGUAAUCAACUAAGGCUCAUACAGAGGAUUAGGGUUAUCUGAAUUGAUUUGAAUUAAUUAGAAUUUACUCUCAGAGCUGUGGCAAUUCCUUGAACCACACUGAUUGCUAUAAAGUGGAAGAGGAAUAGAUUGAAUUUUGGGGAGUCAACUACAAUGUGUACUACAGGUAAAUACUAUGAAUUUCCAAUUCACAGAUGAGAAAACUGAGGCAUGUGGUGGGAGGGAGGUUAUGUAAUUUGCCCAGUGUCACAGUUGAACCUAGGCAAAGGCCUAUCUCCAGGUCUAAACAAUUCAGUGGCCUCCUGUGUACAUUUCUGUCUCUCCUUUUUUAUCCACUGUGUCACCGAGGCUGGAUUGCAGUGGCUCGAUCAUGGAGAUCAUGGCUUUCUGUAGCCUUGAACUCCUGGGCUCAAGUGAUCCUCCUGCCUCAGCUUCCUGAGUGGCUGGGACUACAGGCUUGACAACACACCCGGCUAUCCCGUGUAUAUUUCUUGAGGGCUUAUGAUAUAUAAGAGAAACUCCAAAAUAAGAGGACGGUGUGCUAAGGGGAAGACCAAAGCACUAUCAAGAGGUAGAUUCAAUCGUACCCCUUCUAUUUACUAGUUGUGUGACUCUUUUGAAAAUGAGAAUAAUAGGCCAGGCUCGGUGGCUCCUGCCUGUAAUCCCAGCACUUUGGGAGGCUGAGGCAGGUAGAUCACCUGAGGUUAGAAGUUCAAGACCAGCCUAGCCAACAUGGCAAAACCCCAUCUCUAUUAAAAAUACAAAAAUUAGCCGGGAAUGGCAGCAUGUGCCUGUAGUUCCGGCUACUCAGGAGGCUGAGGCAGGAGAAUCACUUGAACCCAGGAGGCAGAGGUUGCAGUGAGCCGAGAUUGCGCUACUGCACUUCAGCCUGGGUGACAGCGAGACUCCAUCUCAAAAAAAAAAAAAAAGGAAGAAAAGAAAAGAAAAUGGGAAUAAUAAAACUUACUUACUGGAGCAGUAGCAAAGAUUAAAAUUUAGACCAUGCAGAAGAAUGUUUUUCAAAAUGACAUGACCUGGUAAUAGGAUAGAAAUGCAAAUUCCUGUUACUGCACCAGACCCACCAAAUAAGAAACUCUGGGGAUGGGACCCAGGACUAAGUACUUUAAUAAGCACUCCAGGUGAUUCUAAUGAUUGUUAAAGUUUGAGAACCACUGGUCUAACACAUUGCCUGGUACAUAAGCUCUUAUUUUGUUGUUAUUGUUCUAAGGACAAUGUGUGUAUUGACUUCUAUUUCCAGGAGUUCAUGACUUGGAGAACUAGGGAAAGGAAGACAAAAAUUCUUUAAUGCAGAACGAUACUGAUUGAUAAAUACCUGAAUAUAAUACAGGUUAAAUGUGCUUUGAAGAUUUAUAAAAGGUUGAAUUUAUUUCCAGCAAGAUGACUCUCAGAAGCCUUUAUAGAUUAGAGAAGAAAUGGAAAGGGGUAAAAAUAAUUAGGAACUAUAAAGCAGGGCAGACAAGUUUUCAAUGGUUACUGCCAAUGUGUAUACAGAAAGUUAGCUUGGCCAGGCAAAGUGGCUCAUGCUUGUAAUAUCAGCACUUUGGGAGGCCAAGGCGGGCAGGUCACCUGAGAUCAGGAGUUUGAGACCAGCCUGACCAACAUGGUGAAACUCUAUCUCUACUAAAAAUACACAAUUAGCCCAGCAUGGUAGAGCAUGCCUGUAAUCCCAGCUACUCAGGAGGCUGAGGCAGGAGAAUCGCUUGUACUUGGGAGGCAAAGGCUGCAGUGAGCUGAGAUCGUGCCAUUGCACUCCAUCCUGGGAAACAAGGGUGAAACUCCGUCUCCAGAAAAAAAAAAGUUACCUUGAAAUAUAUCAAUACAAACAAAUAAAUUAGAUAUUUCAUAUUGUACAGGAACAAAACCCAUCAGAAGAUGUCAGAAGAUAAGGAUUUUUGUCCUGAUGCUACACUUACCAGCUGUCCCUCAGUGUUCUACUUCUUAAAAAAAGAGAGGUUGGUCCUGAUCCCUGGUUCUUAACCAGGGGAAAAUGAAGUGGGGCCAGGGCAUGUGCAGACUUAAAAAUUACACAGGGGAAUGUAGGCACGAUCUGUUUAAGAAAUACUGGACUAAAUGGUCUCUAAUCUGUGAUUGUAGAUUAAAGAAUAAUCUACAAUCUACACCGUGUUGGCCAGGCACGGUGGCUCACACCUGUAAUUCCAGCACUUUGGGAGGCUGAGGUGUGUGGAUCACAUGAGGUCAGGAGUUCGAGACCAGCCUCACCAAUGUGGCAAAACCCCCUCUCUACUAAAAAUACGGAAAAUUAGCUGGGUGUGGUGGUGCAUGUCUGUAGUCCCAGCUACUCGGGAGGCUAAGGCAUGAGAAUUGCUUGAACCUGGGAGGUGGAGGUUGCAGUGAGCCAAAAUCACGCCACUGCACUCCAGCCUGGGUGACAGAGUGAGACUCUGUCUCAAAAAAAAAGAAAAAAUAAAUAAUCAAAUGUAAAGUUAGCACAUAAAGGAGGCAUGUACAUAUUAUUAAAAUCUAUAUGACUACCUCUCCUUUUUCAUUUUUGGCUCAAUAUCUGUAUCUGAACACCUAAUUAAUGAAAGGAAAACAUUUGUAAUAUGUAGCAACUAAAAUGUCACCUUCUCUGUGGGGAUCACAAAGUCCUUGGCAAUCACUUCCAUACCAGACAAGUGAGUAUUGUCCUUCUCCUUUUCCAGAUGGAUAAACAGAGGCAACCCGAGGAUAAAGGCCUUGCUCAGUGUCACACAUUUCAGUCACUAAAUAAGACACAAUGGAUGCCAGUAUUCUCAUCCCCUCACAAAUAAAGAGCCUUCAAGCUCUUGCAGUCAACAAGAACUUUUGGAAUGAUUUCACUGCCUGAAAAGGCAGAUACAUAGGUGACACCCACAAAUAGGAAGAAAAUCAACCUGAACCUGAGUGUGUGGGCUCACUGACUCUAAGCAGUAGAGACAGAAGAAAAAGUUUUAGCAAAGAAGGGUUCUGAAAGAAAAUAAAUAUAGCUCGUUAUCAAGUGCUGUUUUUACACAGUAAAACAUGGGCAAAAUUACUCUUCUUUAAGUAGUAAUUCUUAUCUCUUGAUUAAGUCACCUACUCAUUCAUUUAAUAAAUACAUACUGAUUGUUUUCUAUGUGUUGAGCACUCAUCUCUGUAUUGGAAAUAUAAUAAUGACCAAAGUUGACAAUAGUAAUAACAAUAAUAGCUAAUAUAGCAGGCACUAAUAAUUAUUUGUUGAGUAAUAUGUCAAAAUUCAGUGUGAACAGCAUUCUAUUUGGGGCUGCAUCCACUGACUAUAACACAGCUAAUCUAUCUGAAAUGUUCCAGCUUUGGGCCUCUCUAACAGAAGAAGCUGUUGUUGGGCCUGCCUCUAGUUGGCGAUGCAUCCACCAAUGAGAAUGAAUUUAUGAUCGACCACUCUUCCUGUAAAGGCCGCUGGAACUGACAGCAUUGUGAUUUUCUUUUACUGUUAGUUUUAAAUUACUAGAACCAACUCAAUUACUAGAACGAACUUUACUUCUUUGUUUCCUACUUAUCAAAACAGUAAAAACAACAAGUAAAAGAAAUGCCAUCUUAAUAUUGUUUUGAUGACAAAACAGUAUUCCUUUUAGUUGUGCUUCAAAUGGAAUAAGAUGCAAACAGGCUUGGUAUGGUGGCUCACCCCUGUAAUCCCAGCCCUUUGGGAGGCCAAGGUGGAAGGAUUGCUUGAGGCCAUGAGUUUGAGACCAGCCUGCGCAACAUAGCAAGACCGUGUCUCUACAAAAAAUAAAAAAUUAGCUGAGUGUAGUGGUGUGUGCUUGUGGUCCCAGCUACUUUUGAGGCUGAGGAGGGAGAAUCUCUUGAGCCCAGAAGGUCGAAGUUGCAGUGAGCCGUGAUCGUGCCAUUGCUCUCCAGCUUGGACAACAAAGCAAGACCCUAUGUCAAAAAAUAAAUAAAUAAAAGACAUAAACAUAUCUGAGAUUAACUUUCAGUGGUAAAUUUGUUCCAUAUAUGAUUUUUAAGGUUAAAUGCUUUGGAAGCUUUAAAAACCAUUUCAGCCCUUUUAAAUGCCAACUUACACUGAUGAUGCUCUCAGAUGUUAGGAAAUCUUUUGAGCAGAAAAUGGAAGUGGGGGUGUUGAGGCAGGGAGGAGAGUGAUGCAAUAUUCCUUAGUGUCAUCCUGUGAUUUCACAAUUUGUUUUUCAAUCUGUUUGGACUUUCAAAAGGGAAGACUCUCAUAUGUCAACAAGCCCAUGAACUGAAGCUUAAAACACUGGAAACAACAACUGUAGAGUUUCAAGUAUAUGUACAUUUAUGUAUUCAUGUUCCUUGAUGGGAAUGCUGGCUGGUGUGAAUGUUCAAUCUCCUGAGAAAUGUAAAUUUUUCUCUGACAGAUUUAUUAGCUUGCUGUAUCUGAGCACAUGAGCAAAAACAAUGCCUAAUAAGAAAACUUUCUCUCUCCUUCAAAGUCAAACUUGGGAGAAAUGAAGGGAAAUCGAGUUUUCUUUGCUUGACAGUGUUCAACAUUCUUGUAGUCAGUGUGCUCAUGAAGAUUGCAAACUUUUUUUUUUUUUUAGAGCAGCUAGGACUACAGGCGCGCACCACCACACCCAGCUAAUUUGUGUAUUUUUAGUAGAGAUGGGGUUUUAACUAUGUUGGCCAAGCUUGUCUCAAACUCCUGACCUCAAGUGAUCCAUUCGACAGCUCUUUCUUUUUUUUUUUUUUUUUUGAGACAAAGUCUCGCUCUGUCACCCAGGCUGGAGUGCAGUGGUAUGAUCUCAGCUCACUGCAACCUCCGCCUCCUGGGUUCAAGCAAUUCUCAUGCCUUAGCCUCCCGAAU
rnacentral:lncRNA from 1 species